rfam:Gossypium hirsutum cultivar TM-1 chromosome 11, whole genome shotgun sequence
AAUCCAUGCAUUGGACAUUUUUGAAUUAAGUUUUUAAAUCGUUCCCAAGCUUCAUACAGUGUUUAAUCCUUAGAUUGCUGAUAAUAUGUGAUGUCAUUUCUAUGCUU